GUGAGUUCAAGGAGAUAAACAGGGUUCUGUUUGGAGGGGAGGGACAGCAACAGCAAGGCCAGGAGAGUCAGCAAGAGGGAGUGAUUGUGGAACUUGAAAGAGAACAGAUUCGCGAACUGAUCAAACAUGCCAAAUCUAGUUCAAGGAGAGCCCUUUCCUCCCAAGAUGAACCAAUCAACCUGAGAAACCGCAAACCCAUCUACUCCAACAAAUUUGGAAGGUGGUAUGAGAUCACCCCGGAGAAAAACCCCCAACUUAGGGACAUGGACAUGUUCAUCAGUUCUGUGAAUAUGAAAGAGGUAACAGGAAGGAAAACCAUAUCACUGUCGUCUUAAUUAUAAAAUCUUAGUACCGAUGCAAUAAUUAAAUAAUGGUUUCUUUUUUAAAAACUUUAUUAGGGAGGCCUUCUUCUGCCACACUACAAUUCUAAGGCCAUAGUGAUUCUGGUGAUUAAUAAAGGAGAAGCAAACCUUGAACUUGUUGGGCAAAGAGAACAAGAACAAGAGGAAAGCUGGGAAGUGCAGAGGUAUAGAGCUGAGUUGUCUGAAGACGAUGUAUUUAUAAUUCCAGCAACAUAUCCUGUUGCUAUCAACGCUACCUCCAAUCUAAAUUUCUUUGCUUUCGGUAUCAAUGCUGAGAACAACCAGAGGAACUUCCUUGCAGGUAUAUUAUAUGAUAUAUCUCCCUCAAAUUUGAAUACAGUGUUGUUUGUUUUAUGCGACAUGAUGAGUUUGUUGAUUUACGUUUGAAGGUGAGAGAGACAAUGUGAUAAGCGAGAUACCUACAGAGGUGUUGGAUGUGACGUUCCCUGCGUCUGGUGAGAAGGUUGUGAAGCUGGUAAAGAAGCAGAGCGAAUCCUACUUUGUGGAUGCACAGUCUGAGCAAUAAAUAUGAAGUGAAAUGUAUGUAUGGUGGAAGAGCUCAUAUAUAGAGAGCAUGGAAAUAUGUAUCGGCCAUGUAGCAAUAAAUGAGCUCCAGCUCACUUCUUGAAUGAAUAAUAAAGGGUAUAUUUAUUUUUAUAUAUUCCUUUUCUUUAUAAAUACAAUGUUGAAAUUUUUAAUAACCA
rnacentral:lncRNA from 1 species